UGCCUGAGGGGCAGGUGCAGCCUGGCCUUUGGAUUUUCAGCAGGAAUGCAGAGGUCUUAGGACUGUGCGGGUCCCCAGAUCUGAUUUUACACUGGGAACAAAAUACUAGAGAAGGCUACUUUUGAGAAGCUCCAGUCUCCGUGACAGUGGGACUUGGGGAAAGAAGACCUGUUGCGUGAAGGAAUUUGCUUUUUUACUUCCAAUUCCACCCAAACAAUAACUGAGCACUUACAUGUGCCAAGCACAGUGCUUGAUGCUGGGGAUAUAGACAAACAAGCACCACACCAGGACAAAGGCACUCAUUUAUGGCCAUGGAAUGAAUGCUGAGACAGGAAAGCAGAGCACUUGGUAUCAGAGAAAAUGGUAACAACUAUUAUAAACUUUAUUAAAACAAAGAUAAGGGUGAUCCUUUUGAAAAA